rnacentral:rRNA from 1 species
UACGGAGGGUGCGAGCGUUGUCCGGAAUCACUGGGCGUAAAGGGCGCGUAGGCGGCUACUUAAGCGUGUGGUGAAAGUCCGGGGCUCAACCCCGGAUCGGCCGUGCGAACUGAGUGGCUCGAGCACUGUAGAGGCAGGUGGAAUUCCGGGUGUAGCGGUGGAAUGCGUAGAGAUCCGGAAGAACACCGGUGGCGAAGGCGGCCUGCUGGGCAGUGGCUGACGCUGAGGAGCGAAAGCGUGGGGAGCGAACAGG